CAGUCGACGCCCCGCAAGGGGAGUGGCAGACGGGUGAGUAACGCGUGGGAAUCUACCCAGCUCUACGGAACAACCCAGGGAAACUUGGGCUAAUACCGUAUACGUCCGAUAGGAGAAAGAUUUAUCGGAGUUGGAUGAGCCCGCGUUGGAUUAGCUAGUUGGUGAGGUAACGGCUCACCAAGGCUACGAUCCAUAGCUGGUCUGAGAGGAUGAUCAGUCACACUGGGACUGAGACACGGCCCAGACUCCUACGGGAGGCAGCAGUGGGGAAUAUUGGACAAUGGGCGAAAGCCUGAUCCAGCCAUGCCGCGUGAGUGAUGAAGGCCUUAGGGUUGUAAAGCUCUUUCAGUGGGGAAGAUAAUGACGGUACCCACAGAAGAAGCCCCGGCUAACUUCGUGCCAGCAGCCGCGGUAAUACGAAGGGGGCUAGCGUUGUUCGGAUUUACUGGGCGUAAAGCGCACGUAGGCGGAUCGUUAAGUCGGGGGUGAAAUCCUGGAGCUCAACUCCAGAACUGCCUUCGAUACUGGCGAUCUUGAGUCCGGAAGAGGUGAGUGGAAACUCCUAGUGUAGAGGUGGAAAUUCGUAGAUAUUAGGAAGAACACCAGUGGCCGAACGCGGCUCACUGGUCCGGUACUGACCCUGAGUGCGAAAGCCGUGGGGAGCAAACAGGAUUAGAUACCCUGUAGUCCACGCCGUAAC
rnacentral:rRNA from 1 species